UGUUUUGUUACAUAGUGUUGCACCUGAUACUAAGAAAAUUACAAAGCAACAAAUCUGCCACAAAAAGUUAUAUUACAAAUACAAGAUAAUUCAAAAUAAAUUAAUACUGUGUUAUAAAAUAAAAUGGCAUUAAUAACCCAAUUGCAUCCAGUACCGCAUUCCCAUCAUGCAACUAGAUAUCAAAGAUAGCAACUAUAAUGAAAUAAUUGAGAAACAAGAAACAUUUGUGAACAAGAUCUUCAAGCCUUGACCACUGGAAGAAAGAACUUAAAAACACCCGGCUAGCUACAACAAACACCAAAAAAGUGUCAAAGCGAAAAUUAAAUUAGCACCAGUAGCAGCAACACCAAACAGAUGGAUACACUAAGGCCUCCCCUAAAAGGAAAAAAGCCUUAAGCCUUCACCUAAAAAACCAGAAAACCAGAAACUAAUACACAUGAGAAGAGUUAGAGAAAAAACCACAUAAACUAUAUGAGUGUGAUUCUGUUCCCAAAUCCUAGCUCCUUUUAUACUUGAUCACUUUUCUAAUUAUACGCAGUCAAAUAAAUCAGCUGAUAACAAGAAGUGAAUGAUAUUUCUUUAAGAUCGUC
rnacentral:lncRNA from 1 species